rnacentral:rRNA from 1 species
ACUUUCAACAACGGAUCUCUUGGUUCUGGCAUCGAUGAAGAACGCAGCGAAAUGCGAUACGUACUGUGAAUUGCAGAAUUCAGUGAAUCAUCGAAUCUUUGAACGCACAUUGCGCCCUUUGGUAUUCCAAAGGGCAUGCCUGUUCGAGCGUCAUUUG